rnacentral:rRNA from 1 species
AUUGAACGCUGGCGGCAUGCCUAACACAUGCAAGUCGAACGGGGCAGCAAUGCCUAGUGGCGGACGGGUGAGGAAUACGUAGGAAUCUGCCCUUAAGUGGGGGAUAACCAGGGGAAACCCUGACUAAUACCGCAUGAUCUCUUCGGAGCAAAGAGGGGGACCGCAAGGCCUCUCGCUUCUGGAUGAGCCUACGUCUGAUUAGCUAGUUGGUAGGGUAAAGGCCUACCAAGGCGACGAUCGGUAACUGGUCUGAGAGGAUGAUCAGUCACACCGGAGCUGAGACACGGUCCGGACUCCUACGGGAGGCAGCAGUGGGGAAUAUUGGACAAUGGGCGGAAGCCUGACCCAGCCACGCCGCGUGCAGGAAGACGGCCCUCUGGGUUGUAAACUGCUUUUAACUGGGAAGAAAGCAGCUCAUGCGUGAGAAUUUGACGGUACCAGUUGAAUAAGCCACGGCUAACUACGUGCCAGCCGCCGCAGUAACAC